CCAGCGAGAGAAAAACAUCACCAAACUGCAUUGGCUCUUUCAUACUUCUCAAGCCAGAUUCUGCCACACACACACAAAAAAAAAAUCUCACUCGUCUCAUUUUAGUUCUAGAAGAAGAAUCUCAUUCCGAACCAUGAGGUUUUUAUUUGAGAAUUCCUUGCGGCCAGGUGUCAAUACUGUUUGACGCCACCUAGCCUCAAAUGGUAGUGGCUUUGCUGACAGCCACCCUUCAUACGGGCAGCCCCAUGUUCGGCUGUUUCGCUUCGGUUCUUCUGUUAUGGUUCGGCUGUUUUAUUUUAGUUUGAUGUCAUGGUUUAUUAAUACAUGGUGAAUAACAUUUUAAUACAUGGCGACUCAUUGUUUAAUAAGUAUAUGAUAAACUUUUUCGAAUAAAUACUUCGCAUUUUGGUAAUAAGUUGAACAUUAUUUGAUAUACAAUGAACAUUUUUAUAUAUGGUGAAUUUAUUUAAUUACACACACACAAAUUACACAACUGGUAUUUUUAAUAUACAAUCAGUAUUUUAAGUAUGUACUUUUCUAAACACGUAUUAAACAAAGAAAACUGAAGAAAACCAAUGAAAACUAGUAAGAAAACACACAAAGGAAAAGACUCGUAUAGAAGCUAAACCGGACCGAACCGGUCGAUAGAAGUUUCACAAAAGCAUUCUUAGCAGGUAUAGUACUAGGCCGAUGCGAGACCAAAGGAUGGAUAUAACCCUGGCGAGGGACCUCCUAAUUAACGCGGUGCACGCUCGCGACGAGCCAACCCGCAUAAUCCCUCCCCCCGACGUGCCCUUUUGGGUCGACCCAUGUGCGGGGCGGGAUGCACCCUUUUUUGUCCCUUUAUUUUUUCUUUCCUGUUUUUCCUUUAUCUUUUAAAAAUGUUCAUAGUUUGGAAAUAAAUGUUGGCUAAUUCAAAAGUUGUUCAUUAUUUGGAUAUAAAAAAUGUUUUACAAAUCAACAAAUGUUCAUGAUUUGGAAAUAAACGUUUGCUUAUUAAAAGAAUGUUCUUGAAUUUGAACAUAAAUUCAUGAAUUCAAAACAAAUUCCUGAACUUUAAAAAUGUUCAUGACUUACAAAAAAAGGUCAUCAAGUCAAAAAUGUUCGUCAAUUCAAAACAAUGUUCAUAUAUCAGAAAAUGUUCAGGGAUUAUGAAAAUGUUCGGAAAUUUAGAACGGGUUCACCAAUUCAAAAAAUGUAUAUGAAUUUGCAAAUAUGUUUUACAAGUUUAAAAUGUUCAUUAUUUAUCUAGAAUGUUCACAAAAUUCAAAACAAAAUUGGAAAUUUCAUAAAAAAUUUCCCGAACUGAAAGAAAAGUUCAUCAACUCAAAAAGUGUUCAUGAAUGGGGAAAAUGUUUAUGCAUUCCAAGAAAUGUUUUGAUUAAACACAACCAAAAUGUCCAUGUGUUUCAGACAUUGAUCCCAAAAUUUUAAAGAUGUUUGUUGGUUUAAAAAUGUCGUCGAUUCAAAAAAUGUUCAUGAUUUCAAAAUCAUUCACAAUUUUAAAAACUGUUGACUAGUUUGGAAAAAUUUAUCAUGAAUUCGAUUAAAUAAUUGAAUAUUUUCGAAAAUAUUCAUGAUUUAAAAACUGUUACAAAUUGGAAAGACGUUUGCAAAUGAAAAUGAAAAGGUCAAGGAUAAAAAAGAAAGAAAAUGAAAAUAAAAGAGGGAAAUAAAAACAUAAGUAAAAAAACAUGAUAAAUCCGAAUGCAAAACAAAAAUGUAAAAAUAAAGUUUUGAAAGAAAAUAACACAAAAACAGAAAGGAAAUAACAAAACAUAUAAAAGAAAGAAAAAAUGGGUCGUGCUUAAAACGGUCUUAAUUGGGCCUGGGCUAGCAGCGGUUGGAGGGUAUAGCUGGCCCAUUACGACGGUCGGGAAGCCCAACAAUUUUCCAGCGCGGACAAGCGGUGCGUGAUCUCGGAAUCGAUCGUGCCAGCCUAGCUCCAACUUCAAUGUCCUCAAUGAUCACUUCUCUCGAUUUGUACGAAUCAUCAAGCAAGGAAAAAAAAGAAGAAGAAUUGUCUCGGUACUGGUGGGCGCCACGAAAAGAUCGCCCUCACGGUCAAUGGCCGCACCAUCACCGUCACCGUGCUGCGGGUCUCCAGGAGCAGUAGGAAGAGCGCGUUGGACUCUCGUGGACCGUCCAUCUGGCCGCCGCUUUUGCCUGGACGGUGGGGAUGGCGCAUGUACCACCACCCCUCAUGCGCGCCCAAAAGAGAGAGAGUUGCUGUCGCCGGCCAGGGUGCGGGUCGGCUUCAACGGCAAGACCCGCCGCGCGAGAAACAUGACACUACACCGUUCCCCGUUCUACCCUUCGCAGGUGGUCUGGCACUCGCAGAGACGUACGUACACAGCCACUCCUUUGAUGAUCCAUGUAACUAAUCAGUCAGCAUCAACGCACGCAGUAUGAUUUGUAAGUUUACAGAUCCCGAUCCGGCGGUAUGUACGACUUCAUCCAUAACACAUGGUCAACUAUAUCAUAUCAAACCUAUGUGCCAGGAUAAAGAAUCACAGACAUGACAGCUACUACACAUCGUUCUUGCAUGUAAAUAAUUUUAUUGUGAAAAGAUCAAAAUCUAUUAGUACCACCUCCGACACGGUUUAGAAGAUGUGUUUGGGAAUUCUCUGAAACCUAGGUGGUUAUUGAUUGGCCGUGAGAUGAGUUGAAAAAAAAAACAUUCAUACUACGCAUGCAUAUAGAAGCAGUACAACGAAAUACUAAUUAGUUGUCAGGAGUAAAUGCAAUGCGUCUUAAACCUUGUCAAUAAUGAAAAUAAACGUAAAAUGAACCGUGUUUUUUAAAUUGUGACCGAGGGAGUAUAAAUGUUCAUGACAAUUAGAACGGCACCUUCAAACAUAAUAAAAAUUACUCCACCGGUCCCUAAUAUAAGGGCGCUGCUCGGCGAGAUCCGUCUCCUCGCAAGCCGUGCGAUCUGACCGACUGAGGCGUCCUGGCGUUAUGCCUUAUCAUUGCAACGCCGAACAUGUUGCAGAAAAAUUCUGCAAUACGGGUUAUGUUGCAGAAUUUUUCUGCAACACAUAUCAAGUUUCAUUUUUUUUAUAACAAAGGUCUUGUUACAGUUUUUUCCUAUAAUAAUGGUUUUGUUGCAAUUUAUUUUUCUACAACAAAGAUCUCGUGUCAAUUUAGUUUUUCUCCAACGGUGGUCUUGUUGUAUAUUUUUGCAAGAAAGACCUUGUUGCAGAAACUUAUCGUACUAACGUACAGUGAGUAGUGAGUAGAUUGACUGAAGAAAGAAAAAAAAAAUGUUUAGGACAACAUAUGUGUCAGACGGACAAGCCGUCAGAUGCUCGCAUGAGAUCCGCCAGUGGAAGCAAAGCGUUUUCCAUAAUAUAAGUGCAUUUUUGAUACUUUGAUGUCCUAGACCAUCAAACGACCAUUUUCACCGUCAGAACAAGACAACGACGCAUCGCUGUCACCACUCCCCUAUCGGAUUCGACUUGACCUUGUCCAUGACAUCCGGAAAAGUCGUUGUAAACGUGCCUUUAAAGACCAGUGCCCUUAAGCCGCAGCCAUCGCCGUUGAACCGUGCAUAGAUGUGAAGCAUCUCAUGAGAAUCUCGCCAUCACACAUGCACGGUGAGAGAUCUAACCUCACAGCCCCAACGAGGCGAUAGUAAUUUAUGUCGGAGCUCCGUCGAUUAUGUUUAGAUGGACGAACUCAAAGAUAAUCGGAUCUUGAAACACAAAUUCACAGAAGAGGUGUCGCCAUUCAUCUGAACGAUGCACAUAUGUGGACUAGAAAAAUCCUAACCUAAACUAGUAGCUGGAGCAUAAGCAUCAGUAUUCCCCUCCCCGCCAUCGAUUGUGGGAGUGAAAGCGGAGGGGAGGCGAACCCAUAGACUCACCAACAAACAUAAGGAAAGAGUUUUCUCUAGCCAUCAAGAGGAAGGUGGGAACGCAUGAAUGCCCGGUAGCUUGCAUGUCAGGGCAUGUACAAAGUUAUUACUUGCACUAAAAGAUCUACUACUAAGAACAUCUACAACUGGACCCCUCAUAGCCGCACGUCCAGUUAGGUUGCCCGAUCACUACCCCAACAAAAAAAGCACCACUCAACCAGAAUCGCCAUAUCUAGACCAAACGUCUGGACGGACCAAUACUCCCAUGCCUGACCCAUAACUAGGGCGGCUAUGGGGAUGCCUGGACGCGCCCAGACUCCCUAUACCUAACUGCAAGGGCUCACGCGGUCACGCAGAUAUGCCACUGGUCCGACGGGUGUCUCCUUCUCUUCACAUCGCGCGCAACCGAUCCGGUGUGCCGCCCCAGGGAGAAAGUCAACUAUUUUAUGCUAGACAGUGGCAACCGGACCCUAGUUGUCCCCAUUCCCUCCCCUUUCCCCUCCUCACCGUCGUCACUUCCAAAGCCGUCAACCGCUAGCCACGCGUGGCACCGGAUCACCACACACUCGAUGCUGACGGCAGAGUGCCGGUUGUAGCCCCUGAAGGAUACAUGCCAGACGCGCUUCUCGUUUCGUGGCGGGCAUGCCUCCGGGUUCGUCAAAGCCGGAGGAGGUGGGGGAUGAUGGGGACAAGGCAAGGGGGGAUUGGCCGGUCACGGGCUUUGCCAUGACGGAUUACGAGGUCGCAAAGCGGCGGAUAUGGUGGAGCAGUCCGUCAUCCUCGAGUCCAUCCAAGACGAGGCCUACGUGAAGGACAACCGACCCUUCAUCCGGCAUCACAGCUACAUGAAGGACGACGAGCUCUUUGCCCCUACCAUAUCCGAAGAUGAGCUAGAGCUGUUGUAAUUGUCUGCCUACUCGGAGCCUGGCACGAAGAUAACGGACAUCUUCAAAGAUGAGUUGUUUAGAUAUGUACGUGUACGAACUAUAUAUUUAUUUUAUCUACAUGAUUACUAUGGAUUUUUAGGUUUCAUGCGUGACACAUUUUUUUUUGUGCGUUGUCCGGUCACACGAACCAAUGAACGCAUCGGAGUUUGCUUGUUGUGGUUGUAGAUGUUCUAAACGAUUAUUCUUGCAUCGCCCAGUUAAUCAAGCAAUCUAGAGUAUGCUCCUACAUAAUUUGUUGGCGAUUAAAACCACUCCCGGAAACGGUGUUCACCGGCUUAUCUGAACGAAAUAUAAAUGUUUAGUUUAGAUAUAUACAUAAUAUAUACAUAAUAUAUAAAUGUUUCAAUAUAUUAUACAUAAUAUAUAAAUGUUUCAUCUGCAUGAUUAGCAUGGAUUUAAAGUUUCAUAUUUGAGGUUAGUGGGUGCAGCGGGCGUUUUGGUGUGCCAUUCGAUCACUUUCCGUAGGCACAACAGUUUUUACUUGUUGCUAAUUAAUCUAUACCUACUAAUAAAAAAAUAUGUAUUUGUAGUCCGUUAUACUUUUUUUAUAUAAACCACCCUUAAGUUUCUAGUAAUCAACCCGCAGUACAUAUUAGUUGAUUUUUUGAUAAUUCAUAUCUUCUUAACGCUAACUUCAAAUUAAACAUGUUAUAUAUGAAAUUUGAUUAGAAAAAUAUGUAGAAUCUGAAUAUGAUAUUAUUUUACGUGUUAACAUUUAAAAAAAUGCUAUUUAUGAUAAAACCUUAAUCGAUAGCGCAUGAUCAGUCUUUCCUUCAUAUCGAUGCCGAUUCGAAUUGAAAAUGAACACUUUGGCAAAACUAGGAUGGAAAACAAAAACAAUAACUAUAAUCACGCAUGCACGCCUUGUCAAAACCUCACAGAAAAAAUGAAUUAAUCAUUUUAUGUCGGGAGAGAUGUCUUUCCUUCAUAUCGAUGCCGAUUCGAAUUGAAAAUGAACACUUUGGCAAAACUAGGAUGGAAAACAAAAACAAUAACUAUAAUCACGCAUGCACGCCUUGUCAAAACCUCACAGAAAAAAUGAAUUAAUCAUUUUAUGUCGGGAGAGAGACAUCUUAAGAUUGACAACAUUCAAACAUGUUGUGAUGGUGUGAACACUAAGGCCAACGUCGACGAGCGUGGGAAGAAGGGUAAAUAGAAAUACAGAUGGGAUGUCAUGUGUUGAAAUAAAGGACAUGGGCCUAUGGACUCAUGAUUGCUAGAUUAGUGAGUGUUUUUCUUACCCGUUGCAAUGCACUGACUCUUUUGCUAGUUACAUACCUAACGUUCUUGCAUCGUCCAGUUAAUCAAAUACUCCAUCCGUUUCUAAAUAUAAGACCUUUUAAAGAUUAUACUAUGUAUUACAUACGAAGCGAAAUAAAUGAACCUAUACACUAAGGUCCUAUUUGAAUCACCGUUUCUCUUUUAAAUACACGUGUAGAAAAUAUAGACCCACGUCCGUCAGUUUCAUUUCCCGCUGGAAUUUGCAUAAUGGUCAGUAAAUUACAGGUGUAAAUUAUACACCUUCGUAUUGAAAUAUAUCUAUAUGUCUACAUACAUCCGUAUAUAAUUUAUAAUGAAAUAUCUAAAAUAUCUUAUAUUUACGAACGGAGAGAGUAUAAUCUAGAGUAUACAUAAUUUGUUGACGAUUAAAACCACUCCCGGAAACGGUGUUCACCGGCUUAUCUGAACGAAAACAGCUAGUAGUUCCCGGUGUCUUCUUCAGCAAGCAAAAGCGCAGGAGUGACGGCGAGGUAAACGGCAAGCGCACGACCACGACGGGCGGACGAUUCCAUCAUUCUAUCGCCCCGAUCGGAUGCCCGAAAACAAACCACGUUCUUCUUGCUCCCUAAGCCAAGAAGACGGGGGCUAUAAAGGUCAAUUCGCCCGCCCCCCGCCUCCCCCUUCCCACGACCCCGCCCCAAUACGGGAUACCCCCCUCGACACCCCCCGAUUCGAAUCCGCAGCCCCAGAGACAGAUACACGGAGAGAGAGAGAGGGGAACCAAAUCGGACGCCGCCGAGCUCCUCCCCUCUCGAUCUAGGGAUUCCCUCCCCCUCCCCCUCCCUCACCCCAAAACCCUAGAGGCGGGUCCAUGGCUGACGACCACUACAACCCCGCCUCCGCGUCCGCGCCGUCUUCGGCGGCGGCGGCGGCGGCCGAGGCCGCGGCGGUGGUGGGCUCCUCGGUGAUCCCGAUCGUCAACAAGCUGCAGGACAUCUUCUCGCAGCUGGGGAGCAGCUCCACCAUCGACCUGCCGCAGGUGGCCGUCGUCGGCAGCCAGAGCAGCGGCAAGUCGAGCGUCCUCGAGGCGCUCGUCGGCCGCGACUUCCUCCCGCGCGGCUCCGACAUCUGCACGCGCCGCCCGCUCGUCCUCCAGCUCGUGCACCAGCCGCGACGCCCAGCCGACGCCGACAAGGACGAGUGGGGCGAGUUCCUGCACCACCCCGGCCGCCGCUUCUACGAGUUCCCCGACAUCCGACGCGAGAUCCAGGUCCGCCUCCUUGCACCCCCUCCUGUUGGUCUGUCCGUCUCCGCAUAUGGACCCCGAUGGUACCUAGGUUGAUCUGGUCAUGCGGUUAGUGUGCUAUAACAGCUCCAGUACUGCAUUGCGGCCGAUUACAUUGGUUGGGGUGCGGACUAUUGUUUGGUUGCGGUGCUGGUGGUUGUUUGGACGAAUCAUGCCCAAGCUGGUGGCGGUUUUUGAUUAGUAUAUUAUAUGCUAUAGCACAGCUGUUGCUGCUGCCUUACCAGAUUUCUUGGGUUGGGAGAUGAUGCUUUUGGGUAGGCAUUGUGGUAAUUCCAGUAACUUGGCGCCGUAUCAUGAUUUGGUUGUGCUGAUGCUAGGUCCAUGCUGCUUUCUGUUAGUGCUUGUGGUUGUUUCUACAUCCUAUGAUUUGCCCUCUUUUGGAUUUAUGUAGUGCCCUUUAUGUAUUGCUGCAUUCUGGGGUAUAUUGUUCGUUCGAACAUUGAACUUCUUAACGGUAUCCUCCAAUGGUAGUAUUGUUUGGAAAUUUAAUUAUUGCUCUGUUUAUUCAGCGACUUUGAUCCAACGGCUGAUACUGUUCAAUUACUCUAGUGUUUGUUUGAAAAAAGUGCUGGAAAGUCUGCUGACGAAUUAUAAUCUGGGGCAGAGAAUCGUGUAGUGCACUGACUUGGUUUUAACUAGAAUGAUGAUAACACCUGUUAACAAUAAAUCUCAACACGGAUGCAGGCAGAAACGGACAGGGAGGCUGGCGGCAACAAGGGCGUCUCAGAUAGACAGAUACGUCUGAAGAUCUAUUCGCCAAAUGUUCUCAACAUCACUUUGGUCGAUCUGCCUGGAAUUACUAAGGUGCCAGUUGGUGACCAACCAACUGACAUUGAGGCCAGAAUAAGGACUAUGAUAUUGUCAUAUAUCAAGCACAAGACAUGCAUCAUAUUGGCUGUUUCUCCAGCAAAUGCAGAUUUAGCAAACUCUGAUGCUCUUCAAAUGGCUCGGCAAGCCGAUCCUGAUGGUAUGUAUGCCUCUCCAAGUCAUGUGUUUAGUUUGAUAGACCAUUAUUUCUAUUAAGAUGCAAAUCAUACUUGGCGGAUUCUUUGUUUGUGUAGGUUCUCGAACAAUUGGUGUUAUCACAAAGGUUUGCCCCUGAACCUUAAAAUAUACUGUAUAUGCCAUUGUAUAAAAAGAAGGUUGCAUCCUUUAAAUGUCAUCUUUACUGCUCUUCUGUUUUCUUCCAGUUGGACAUAAUGGACCGGGGCACUGAUGCCCGGAAUUUUUUGUUGGGAAAUGUCAUCCCAUUACGACUUGGUUAUGUUGGUGUUGUAAACCGCAGCCAACAGGUACUUUAGUUUGCAGCAUGUUUUGCUUAGCUUAAGGAUUAUGCAUCGAUAACUUAAUAUCUUCAUGACAUUGCUUUCUUUUGCAAGUUUGGUAGUGGCUUAACUUUGUGGUCGCUGUGCUCAUUCUGUAUAGUAACAAAAAAUUUCAGAUGAAGUAAUUUACUAAUUUUGUGUCAUUGUGGACUGUUGCCUGUCGAUAAAUACUCCCUCCGUCCCAAAAUAAGUGUCUUAAGCUUAGUACAAAUUUAUACUAGAGCUAGUACAAAGUUAAGACAGUUAUUUUGGGACAGAGGGAGUAGUUGUUAACAACCCUAACUAACUUAGGUGAACCUAACACGUGAUGUAGAAAAAAAUGGUGAACUUAACACCUAUUUCAUAUGUAUCCAAGAUCAGUUUCCGAAUGCUGUGAUAGUAAUUAUUAAUUGUAGGAAUGUCUUGAACAUAUUUUGUUAUUGCACAGCACCUUCUUUGGUGAUACAAAAAGUUAUUUUUUUCUUUUUCCUUAGCUUUCUAAUGUAUAUCGUGCUGAAUGAUGUAGGAUAUCAAUUCAGAUGUCAGUGUCAAGCAGGCUCUGAUCCGAGAAGAAAGUUUCUUCCGUACUCAUUCGGUAUGCUGCAGUGAAGUUCACUGUUUCUUCUGUUCUGUGUUCUUCUUUAUUGCAUCGUUCUGAAAUGUAACUCCUUGCAGGCAUACAAUGGUCUUGCUAAGCACUGUGGGAUACCACAGUUAGCAAAGAAGCUAAACCAGGUAUUUUGGUGAAGCGGAUGUCUGUUGUAGCCCAUGUUAUAUGACUUUCAAAUUUAUGCUGUGAUUUAACUAAAAAAUACAUCUAUGGGGUUUCAGAUCUUGGUCCAACAUAUAAGAACUAUUCUGCCUGGACUGAAGGCACGCAUAAGUUCUCAAUUGACAGCCAUUGCUAAGGAGCAUGCCUUUUAUGGUGACCCAGUCGAGUCCAAGGUCUGAUGAAUUAAUUUUAUUUGGUCAAUGUGAUAAGAAACAUACACCUUUUGUUAACCUUUGUAUGAGUAGGUUUGGUUAACAGCUAGUAAAAUCUGGUUGCUCAAUCUUGCUUCUGUUAAUUCGUUUGAUCUUUGCCUUGAUGAUCAAUUCCUAUGUUUCGUAAUUGCAGGCUGGGCAAGGUGCUAAGCUUUUGAACAUUCUAGCUAAAUAUUGUGAUGGUAAUAACUGAACCAUGACCUAUCUGGCUCCUUCGCUUCAGUCAUGUAUGUUAUGCUAUAUGUCAUUAUUUGUAAAUGUAAAUAACAUGUGUGUUCUGCAGCUUUCUCGUCUAUGGUAGAAGGAAAAAAUGAAGAUAUAUCAACAAUCGAGCUUUCUGGUGGAGCAAGAAUUCACUAUAUUUUUCAAUCAAUCUUUGUCAAAAGCUUAGAGGUUUGUAAGUUCGUCGCUGAAUCUUCCAGUAUGCUACAUCGUAGGAUUCAUCAUAUUCAUUAUCAUUAAGAUCUAAGAUCUGUCUUUUAUAGGGUGUUGACCCUUGCGAGGAUGUCACUGAUGAAGAUAUCCGCAUGGCUAUACAGAAUGCAACUGGUCCUAGGAGUGCUUUGUUCGUACCGGAGGUAUGAUGCACUUGUGCCCUUUGCGUAAGAAUUGUGUUAAUAUGUAUUCCCUCCGUAAAGAAAUGUAAGAGCGUUUACAUCAUUACUUUAGUGAUCCAAACGCUCUUAUAUUUCUUUACAGAGGGAGUAGAUGGUUUGGUACUGGUCAGUUGAGCUGAUAAUAAUACCUUGUGCUAAAAAUUUGUCAGGUGCCAUUUGAAGUCCUUGUGCGCAGGCAAAUCAGCAGAUUGCUUGAUCCAAGUCUUCAGUGUGCAGAUUUCAUAUACGAGGAGCUGGUUAAGGUAUGUCAGUCCAGCUGUAAAAUCUUGGAACCUGAAAUUGAAUCAUCUGUUUGGUUAAAUUUGCACAAUUUUCAACUUUCUAUAUUUUACUUCUCUUGCUAACUUGUGUUCUGCUGUAGAUGAGCCACCGUUGCCUUUGCAAUGAGCUGCAGCAGUUUCCUAUACUCAGAAGGAGCAUGGAUGAAGUAAUUGGGAAGUUUCUACGGGAUGGGCUUAAGCCAGCACAAGAUAUGAUAGCACACAUAAUUGAGAUGGAGGUAAACACUGUCUUGCCCUAUCAGGAUUCUAAUUAUUAUUUAUCCUAACAAACACGUAUGAGAAUUGACCCUAUUUGAUUUGAGCUUCCAUAUACAGUGAUGAAAACACCCCCACAAUUCUGUUUCUCUUAUUUAAUAACCCCAAAACUGGUUAUUUUGCAAAAUUAUUGCGAGUCUGUGCUCUGAAUAAUUUGUUCCCUUUGUUAUUCCUUCUUUGCACUGAUAUCCGGUCUGUUUUCAUUAUUUUUUACUUGAGAUGAUAUUGACUGUGCAGGCCGAUUACAUAAAUACAUCUCACCCAAGUUUCAUCGGUGGCAGCAAGGCUGUAGAGCAAGCACAGCAACAAGUUAGAGCAGCUAGAUUGCCUGCAACAGUGGUUAGAAGGGUAUGUAUACUUUUUAAAUUUUUAGAUAAGUAAUUUAUGCAAAUGGUGCCUUGCAAUUUAGUAUUUUUUAUCUGACUGCUUCCAUUUCUUACUGACAUGUACUGUCAGAACUUGGAAUUAGAAAAAGAGUUAAUUAGUGAUGCCUUGCAGAGUGUUACUUAUAUACGAUGUCGAGAUUCCUAUCAAUAUAUAGCUAAACUGUCAAUUAUUUAAAUAUUCCCUCUGUCCCAAAAUAAGUGUCGUUGGUCUAGUACAAAAUUUGUACUAACUUAGUACUAAAUCUGUGGCACUUAUUUUGGGACGGAGGGAGUAGUAGUUACUACUAUGUUGAUUUUUUCAUUGUAAUGAUCUCAAUGCAAUUCACGAUGACCCUGUUAUGCUCCAAGACAGUGCAAAUCAUCACAUGAACAUGUCAGUAUCAAACCAUUUAUAUUGUUGGGAGAAGGCGUGGAUACCACACCAACUCUAGCUGUACAUGUUAGAACUUCUGGUGCUAUAUAAGGAUUUUGGGCAUGCAGCCAUUUAUAUUGUUGGGAGAAGGCGUGAUACCACACCAACUCUUAACUGUACAUGUUAGAACUUCUGGUGCUGUAUAAGGAUUUUGGGCAUGCAAACUAUAUUUUUGGCACGUUUUAGCGAUUUGAUUUACAGAUGAUUGUUCUCUUACUAAGUUAUGCACGUACUGAAUGUUCUCUUACUAAUUUACAUAUGUAAUUUGAGCCAGUCCACAUUUUUUGAGGUACACCCUAGUAUGUAACAGUACUACAUUGCAGGAUGGAGUAGAUGCAGAUAGGCCACAGGCUUCUGAAAAAACCCAAAAAGCACGUGCAUUAUUGGGUAGAACUACUGGUGUAAAUGGAGUUAUCACCGACCAGAUCCAGGUUUUUUGCCUCGCUAUUUUUAAUCAGUAAGGUUACUAUUGAUUUGGUGGAGUGUUUCUGAGAUUAUGUUCCUUUGCUGUUGUGGUCAUUAUUAGCAGGGGGUACGAUCGGCUGCUGAGGCAGAGAGACCAGGAUCUUCAGGUAAGGAGUGUUACAAAUGCUAUGUAUUUUUUGAUUAUGUAUAUGCUAUUAUAUUGGAGUGCAGUAGGUCAGUUUAGUGUUCUUUUGGAACAGUACAAUUUCACCUAGUCCAUUUUGCUUAAACUGCUUAUCUUCCAGGUAGUGGAAGCACUUCGUUUUGGGGCUCAAUAUUCACCUCAAGCGAAGACCGUGCACCUUCUUCAGCAAGAGGUAGCUCAACGAACAAAUCUUAUGCUUCAGCUACUCCCAACCUGGAACAUUCAUUCUCUUCAAUACAGUUAAAAGAGGUGAGCUAUCUUAUUCAUGCUCUUUUAGUUUUUCUACCAGUGUUAUUUGAACGUGUUAAGUGAUUGAUGGAGACCCUUGUGAAACAGCCACCGCUAGUCCUCAAGCCUUCAGAAAAUCAUUCUGAGCAGGAGGAUCUUGAAAUAGCAAUCACAAAAUUGCUGCUGCAGUCAUAUUACAAUAUAGUAAGGAAAAAUGUCGAGGAUUUUGUACCAAAAGCAAUUAUGCAUUUUCUGGUAAGAUUCUUGUAACUCAAUAUUUACUUGAGAGUGCCUACUGCAGUUUUUUUUUCUGCAUGCACAACAUAUUUGUCUUAAGUUUCUUACGGCCUAUAUUUGCUUUGGAUAAGUAUGAUGACUGUUUCUGUGUAUGAUCUUUUUGCGCUAUUUCCUUAAUUGCAUAGUAAGCAUACAUGAAGGGCAGUACAUAAAUCUUAAACCCAGCAAUGUUCUGGCCUCAGUUACUGCCAAGCAAUGUUCAACACCAUAGGAUUAUCAAACAUUGUUGGGCAUGUUUAUUAUUGUGACUUUUACAGCAUGAUUAAAUUUCCUUCUUGCUUUAAGCAUUUGUUUACUAGUGAGUUUGAUUGCAUUGGGCGGAUUGCUGUAAAACACCUGAUAUUUUGUGUUUGUUAGUUCAGUUCUUUAAGGGAUUGAUUGUCUUGCAGGUUAAUCACACGAAAAGGGAGCUGCAUAAUUUCCUCAUAACUACCCUUUAUAGGUGAGGAAGGCACUUUGUACUCUUUACUUAAAUUUUGAGUAAUGUCCGGUGAACAGAGUCGAAUUAGUUGCUGCUGCUGCUGUAUACUAUGGUUAUUGAUAUUUUCGUAUACACCAAUGCAGAGAGGAGCUCUUUGGGGACAUUCUCAGAGAACCUGAUGAAAUAACUACAAAGAGGAGGCAGAUACGUGAUACCCUUAAGGUCCUUCAGCAAGCCUACAAAGUAUGUUUCCGCAACUGCUCAGGUCUCCAUCUAAUUAUGUCAUGCACUAUACUUGAUCUGACAUGUUUUGCACCCCGUGUUUCUUUGACAAUGAUGCAGACUUUGGACGAGAUACCGCUUGAAGCGGAGACAGUGGAGAGAGGCUAUUCCCUGGAUUCUGAUGCGACGGGUCUACCACGUGUCCAUGGGGUUUACGAUGGAAGUUCACCAUAUUCGACCCCGAAGCAAACAAGGCCUAGGAAAUCAAGCCACUCCGGGGAGCAGCAACAACCUUUCAGUGGCAAUGGAUUCUGAUAUUACCUUUCACGAUCAUCCCCUGGAUUAGUAGUGAUUUGAGCCAGCGGAUGUGCUGGUAGCAACACAUGAUUCCGCCUUGGGUUUGUCAGUUCGGUACCCAAUAGAUAUAUGUUUUUUUUCUCUAGCCAUUGCUAUUCUUUUUAGUGUUGCGCCCAACGAAAGCAUUGGCGUGGUGCCAAAUUUUUGCCAUGUUGCCCUCCUGUACAGUAUAUCACUGCCCAAUCAUUUCGACUUAAAAUGAAACCGGUGAUGGGUAUAGUUUCCUUUUUUGUUAAAAACCCAGGAAGAAGCCAUGGGAACCUUUAGUUUUAGUGCCGAGUACUUGUAUCUGAACACGGUUAGUUUUGCCGUGAUAAGUAUGACAUGGUUCGUGUGAAGAUGCGAAGAGGUUGUGCUACAUGAAUAUGUUUCUUUUUUUUGCUCAUCGAAUAGUAUGAUAUGUUUCUUUUGAUUUGCUCGUUUGAGGAAUUCUGGGGGCCAAAUAGAUCCGUGCAUGCGAUUAAAUGAAUGUACUACACCUUAUCAGCAUUUUAAAUUGGAGAACCCUAUAAUAGGGCUUAAGAGCACCUUUAACGGGCCGAUUCAAACGGACAACGAUUUUGUUCGUUUGGGUCGGCUAGGCGGACACGAACGUCCGUUUCCGUAAAUGGAUCGACGCAUGCGUCCAACGCUGAUUGGAUCAUUUUUACGACCGUGCAAGAAAAAAAAUACAUAAGUGUAUAAUUAAACAUUAAAAGCCGGUCACAAAGGCCGGCGAGAGUCCAAGCAUCCGCAUUGCACUAAUUAAACAUAAAAAUACCUAAAACUACGAGGACAACCCUAGUCGGCGGCUUCGUCGGGGACGGUGAGAAUAGGUCGACCAGCGCAGGGCCGGCCCACGGGAACGCCGUGUUCCAGAGCGCAGCUGCCUGUGCCUUCGUCGUCUGUCCCGCCGACGUGGGCUGUGCUGGUGGCGGUGGCAGCGCAGUAGCAAGGGCACGGUCCUCCGCCUCUGCCUCCCGUCGUUCCUCCUCCGCCUCCUUCUACAGCUCCAUCAGCCGAAGGCCCUCGGCGCGCUCCGCCCUUCAGUGCUCGAGGUAGGCUUGCUCGCGCCCAGCCAGAUGGGCGGCGCAAUGACGAACUUGUGGAUGAUGCCGGUCCACAGGUAGACCUCCCGCGGCUUCGUGGGCUCGGGCUUUGGCGGGGGUGGCACGACACAGUCGCUGACGGCCGACAGCGAGAUGGCCUCCGCGAGCUCCUGCUGGUAAUCGCCUCCUCGUCGGCCCUGCGCCGCGCUUCCUCCUCGCUGUCGCAGAGAACAGCUGCGAGCGCCGCCUAGUAGGCGGCCUCAGCCUCCUGGUCCUCGUCGCUGACGACAGGCGGGGGCGACCGAGGGCUUCCUCGCUGCACUUCGCCACGCCACAACGACGCAACUCCUCGUGCUCCACCGCGAACCACACCUCCUAGUUAGGCGAGUCGGCCGCGUACGUAGGGUCUCGCCGCUGCUCCGUCGUCAGCAGACAUCAACGACGACUCACCUCCUCCGCAAGCACCUGCGCCGACCGCGGCACGGCCGUCACCGGAAUCCUCUCCGGAUCCAGAUGCCAGCUGUGACAUCCUCGACUUUUGCUACAGUAGUAAUCGUAAUUAAGCUACAGUGAUCAACCGUUAAUGAUGCCACGUCAUCGGAUUUCCAUCUCAGACCCGCGUUGAUUCGAGUUUGUCCGGAUUUCAGAUUUGAAAACAAAAGUAGAGUACGUUAUGAGUUCAUUGCAAAUAUUACAAGAAUAUAUAUGUAAAAACGAGGAAAGUAUUAAAGAAACAGUAAUGAUAAAAGAAAGAAAGAAAACUGAAAGAAAGAAAUAAUAAAAAGAAAAGGGAAAAGAGAAAACAAAAUAAAUCUAAUCAAAAAAAAUAAAUAAAAUUGAAAACAACCCUCACUCCCCCGUGGCCCAACUGGGCCAAAAGGCCCAGCCGGCCACCACCCCCACCCUCCAAAACCCUAGCGCCACCCCACCCCCACGCCAACUCCCUCCCCCCCCUGGGCGCCGCCGCCAGCCCCCCCCCUCGUGGGGGGGCCCCACCCCCACGCCGCCACCUCUCCCUCCCCUCUCGUGACCCUCCCCAACCCACCGACACCCCCUCCCCCACGAUCUCCCUCCUCUCCUCCCGUGGCCUCCUCCCCCAGAUCUCUCCCCUGUCGAGCCCCCCUCCUCUCCCAACUCCCACGUCGUCUCCUCCUCCUACCUCCCGUCGACCCCCCCCACCGGCAGCCCCCCCCGACGGCCAGCCCUCUCCCCCGCCGGCCUCCUCCCCCCACGGCCUCCUCCCCACCCCAUGGCCACCUCCUCCACCGGGCCGCCCAACCCGGCGGCCCCCACCUCACGGCGACCCCCCACCUCACGGCGAGCCCCCCCCCUCCCCGGCCGGCGCGCCACCUCCACCACGCCGGCCACCUCGGCCCCCCCCUCCAGGUCCGGCGGCCGGGGCCCUCCCCAUCCCGCCGGCGGCUCCAUCCCGGGGGUCCUCCUCACGGGGCCCCUCUCGGCGAACAUCCGACCGGUUCCUCCUCGCCGGCACGUCACCAUCACCGUCACCGUCACCGCCUCCACGCCGUCUCCACCGUCAUCUUCGUGCGAACUCCGGCUUCACCGGGCCGUCACGUCACCGUCGGUGAGCCCCUCUUCGGGCUCCUCCCACCAUGUCGAUCUCCUCGCCGUCCCGGUUCCGUUCCGGCAAACGGGGCCUCGAUCCGUCGACGGUGGACUCCGGUAGAAGGAUUCGAAGUUUGUGUUCUUCUAGGUGGAGUAGCAAAAGAACUUCUCUGUCUCUGUUAACAGAGAGAGGGAGAUGAGUGUUUUGAGAGAAAAAGAAAUAAAAACAAUUGAUGUAUUAGAUGCCGUAUGUAUGUAUGUAUGUAUGUAUGUAUUCGAUACCCGUAUUAUGUAUGUAUUUGCGUAUAUGGAUAUUUAGAGGAAUACGGUAUUUGCACGGAUAAGUAUCUAAUAAAAAUAAAUGAGGAAAUAACCUUAGGCCACUUACCGGUGGGGCCAAUGCACCGCUGUCAAUGACAGGGAGGCCCCACGCGAUGAUUAAANNNNNNNNNNNNNNNNNNNNNNNNNNNNNNNNNNNNNNNNNUGUUACUGGGAUCUUCGGUGAUUAGUUGUAAGACGGGUGGAUUCCCGCGAGACUGUGUUGUUGGCCUAAUUAAAAUGCUAAUGGAUUUGGGUAUUUGAUCUGGGUUGGUCGGAGACCUUUUCGCACUAACCGGCUACGCGGGAAGAAUUAUGGGUACUCGGCGUCGCGGUAUCAGCCGAAGCUUUUCAGAUGCCAGCAGUGUAGCGGCGCGCGCCCGAGUGGUCCCGAGAUGCAUCGCGCUUGUGAUUAAGGGAUGCUAGGACUGACGUCGGCCGCCCACGCCACGUGCAGGAGCGUGAAGGGGAACUGGGCCCAUGAACCCUUUGUGCUUAGGAUUUAGACCGGCGGGCUGGCCUCUCUGAUUAGUCUUAGGUGGGGUUGCGACGUGUCGAUAUUCCGAGGCCGGGCAGGACCCAGAAAAGUAUGUCCGGCCAGAGUGUUAUCGAGCGUGACGGGACAUGUGGUGCACCCCUGCAGGGAUGAAAAUUAACUAUUCGGAUAGCCGUGUCCACGGUUACAGGACGACUUGGAGUUGUGCCCCGAUCUUAUACAACUAAAAUUGUUACUUAACUGGAAUUAGUUUGCCUCGGGAUUGCUUCCACGCAGGGAGUCGAGGGAGGAUCUUUAGGCGUGACCUCACUUUAUUAUUGCUGCAACAAUAUGACUAUUAAUGUGUUACCCCCCCUGUUCUACUCUCGUCUAUUGCUGCAAGACCCUGAAGAUGCUAGUCUUCGAUAGGACUAGGCCUUUCCUCUCUAUUCUCGCAUUGCUGCAGUCAGUCCACAUAUAACCCCCCCCUUCUUUGAUACUGAUGCAUAAAUAGAAUAGUUCUGAUGUAAGACUUGCGAGUACUUUGGAUGAGUACUCACCGCUGCUUUGCUCCCCCUUGUUCCCUUGAUCCGGUUGCUGCGACCAGAUGAUGAAGCCCAGGAGAUGGAGGUCCCCGCCACCGACGACUGCUACCCCGACGGUGCCUACUACUACGUGGAGGCCGCUGAUGAUCAGGAGUAGAUAGGAGGUUCCCAGGCAGGAGGCCUCGCCUCGUUCGAUCGUUGUAUCUUUUGUGCUAGCCUUCUCUAAGGCACCCCCAUGUUUUGUGUCUGUACUCAGAUAUUUGUUGCUUCCGCUGACUCGUGUGUUUAUCGAGCUUUCGUAUUCUAGCCCUCGAGGCCCCUGGCUUGUAAUAUGAAGCUGAUGUUGUUUUAUUUGUGUCUAGAGUUGUGUUGUGAUAUCUCCCCGUGAGUCCUUGGGUUUGAUCGUACGCAUUUGCGUGUAUGUUUAGCGUACGAUUAAGCCGAGGGCGUCACAAGUUGGUAUCAGAGCCAACUGCCUGUAGGUAGCCCCCCUUUCCAACUCCUUGGCCGAAGUUGAGUCUAGUGUUUGAAAAACUUACUAACACUGAUGUUGUGGCUUACGGGCCCACAUCUCAAUUGGGUGGUAUUAGUAUCUUUUACUCCUUUCCUAUACUCUGGGCUCUACUUUCUCUUCUCUUUCGGGUCAAAGAUUUUACUAACUCUAACAUUAGGUUCUCGAAUCACAUCAAUCCGGAGCGCUGGACUAUCUACUCUUUUUCUCCUGAAUAUGUAUUACACACACUGUCAUUGACAUCCGUCAAUCUUAUUUUCAGAUGCGUCCCGCAAGACAGCACGUGCGCCUGACACAGGCCACCGAGACGACUGGGUUCCCGGCCAUUUUGGUCGAUCUCCUGACCAGGCUGGGAUAUCGCUGGUACCCCGAGUACACUGUGUUCGAGGAUUUCCGCGAGUACAACCAGUACCAGUACCAGGCUGAGGUUCGCAUCUUCGACCAGAGGGGCGGUGAGACCCUCGAGCGCCACGUGUUCUGUGGUAUUGGAGUGUCGGUCGAGAUGGCCGUCCACGAUGCGGCCUACAUCGCCAUCACCCGACUCCGUGGAGCGUACCCUCACCUGGAGGAGAGCCCUUUCAGAUACAUCCCGCAUGCUCCUGCUGGGGAUGAGACUGGGUCUGAUCUCACUGCCUACGCUUCUGACGUUCGGGAGCGCAACGACCGUUCCUACGUCGCUGUCUGCGCCCCCUACGUGACGCGUCGGUACGACGCGCGGAUUUUGGUGCAGUACACUGAGGCAAUGGAUCGUGCUUUCCGAGCUCUGACUGUGGAGUUGUAUGCUACACGCGCUCGUCUUUACGACGCGUUGACAGAGCUGCAGCCAUCACACUGUCCGAGGGAUCCCCCUUUGCGCAUCCGCGAGCCGAGCAGGACAGAGCUACCAUCAGCUCUCGAGUGGACUGAUGUUGGGGGUAGAACCCCUGCACUUGGACCUCAGCUCCUCGACUGGAUGCGGUACCGUCACCAGAGUCACAACGGGACACAGGGUCCUGUCCCUACCUUCUAUCACCGCCAGCUACCAGGAUUCGUUCGUCCUCUCCGACGUUGAUGUAGCCUUAUCGCUACAUCUCGUUGUGGUACUCUUCCACCGCGUGCCUGCGCGCCGCCUAGUGAGUCCAGGGUAUCGUCAAAUGCGUCCGGGCUAUCGCCAAAUUUCGAGUUUUUAAUCGUUAGUCUGUAAUCGAACUUAUGUAUGGGUCUGUAUGUCGAACUCAACUACUAUGGAGUAUCUAUCACAUUUCCCUUUCGUUAUGCUUGGUUACUUCAUGAAUGCGUGCGAUGCCUUUCAAUUACUUUAAGCUAAACUACCCCUGCUAAAUAUUUAACAGGAUGGUUAGACCAGCUGGCCGCCCGCGUGGCCGUGCCAACGAUGCACCACCCCCGCCUCCUGAGUAUAUGGCAGGGAUGAUCCAACAGUUUGAGCUGAACCGCCAGUUUAUGCAAGGGCUCAUGGAUCAGUUCCAAAGGCCGAACAUGAAUCAACCACAAGGCGUGACACUGCAAGACUUCUGCCGUCUCAACCCUGCGAUCUACCGCAGCUCAACUCAGCCUCUUGAUGCUGAUGACUGGCUCCGUGACAUUUCUUAUGAGCUAGAGUCUGCCAAUGUGCCCCUGGCGAGCUAUGUCAACUUUGCCGCCUACUUUCUGAAGGGUCCCGCUGCUCAAUGGUGGGACAGCCACAGGCGCUCUCAGCCCGAUGGAACUAUCAUCACUUGGGCAGAGUUCAAGGCUGCUUUCCGUGCUCGAUACAUUCCCCAGGGAAUCAUGGACCGGAAGAAGCGUGAGUUCCGCAACUUGGUCCAGGGCAACAAGACUGUGGAUGCUUAUCAGCGGGAAUUUUUGGAAUUAUCUCGCUAUGCUGAAGAAGACAUUGCGACUGAUGCACGCAGGCAGGAGAAGUUCCGUGAAGGCCUCCACCCUGAUAUCAAGCUGACACUCCUCGUUCAGGACUAUGCUGAUUUCGCCACCCUCGUGAACAAGGCUAUUCAGGUUGAGACUGGUCUGCAGGAAUACAAAGAUAGCAGCAAGCGCAACCGUGACAUGGGCUCAUCUUCGGGCUCAUCUGCACAGAAGCGGAAGAUCUGGAUUCCCAACAACAUGUACCAUGCACCUGCUCCUACUCCGAGGCCGUCCUAUGCUGCACCUCGCCUGCCUCCUCCACCACCUAGGCAGCCGAGGCUUCCAGCUCCACCGCCUCGAGUUCCUCCUUCCCGUCCUGAGGACGGGUUGUGCUUCAAGUGUGGCCGUCCAGGUCACCGUGCUAGAGACUGCAGGCAGAAUCAGAAUCAGCUGGCACUUCCCGCUACUGGCCGUGGCAACAACCAGAACCGCAACUUCAACACUAAGCCUGCUUAUGUUCGUGGUCAGGCCAACAACAUUGAUAUGGGUCAAGCUCAAGACCAGCCUGCUACCGUGAUGGGUACACUUCUCGUUAACUCAGUACCUGCUUCUGUAUUGUUUGAUACAGGAGCAUCGCAUUCCUUUAUGUCGGAAAAUUUUGCAUACAUGCAUGACAUUAGGAGCGAAGAGAUGAACCUCCCGAUAGUGGUAAACACCCCUGGGGGCGAAUGUCGAACCUCUGUGGUUUGCCCCCAUGUUCCAGUUGAAAUUGAAGGAUUAGAAUUCCUUGCCAACCCCAUCCUACUAAAGUCAUCCAACAUUGAUCUCAUAUUGGGGAUGGACUGGUUGAAGGCUCAUACGGCAUCGAUCGUUUGUGCCACCAAAACCGUCCACCUCCUACACCCUUCAGAUGAACUAGUAAGCUACCAUGCUCGUCUCGUCCGUAAUGCUGAGGCACGGCUGUAUGCCUUGAAUGCAUUAAAUGCGUCGCCUCUUGAAGGGAUUGAAAACAUUCCAGUGGUCCGAGAGUUCCAAGAUGUCUUUCCAGAAGAACUUCCGGGGAUUCCCCCUGCUCGAGCUGUCGAGUUUGUCAUUGACUUGGUACCCGGUACCACUCCUAUUGCCAAGCGUCCUUAUAAAAUGCCACCACAUGAACUCCUUGAACUUAAGCAAGAAAUUGACAACUCGCUCCGUCUGGGUUUCAUCCGUCCGAGUUCCUCUGCUUGGGGAGCACCUUCUCUUUUUGUUAAGAAGAAGGAUGGGACAAAUCGAUUGGUUCAAGACUAUCGUCCUAUCAACCAGGCCACUAUUCAAAACAAAUAUCCUCUCCCUCGGAUAAAUGAUUUGUAUGAUCAACUUGCUGGUUCCACCGUUUUCUCUAAGCUCGACUUGAGAUUGGGAUACCACCAGAUCCGUGUUCGCAAGGAGGAUAUUCCAAAGACCGCCUUUGUUACUCGAUAUGGAUCAUACGAGUACACCGUCAUGUCCUUCGGCUUAACCAAUGCACCGGCAACCUUCUCUCGACUGAUGAAUUAUAUAUUCAUGGACUACCUCGACAAAUUUGUCGUGGUAUAUCUGGAUGAUAUUCUGGUGUUUUCGAAGAACAAAGAAGAGCAUGCUGAACAUCUUCGUCUUGUACUGGAUAAGCUUCGGGAGCAUAAACUCUAUGCGAAGUAUUCCAAAUGUGAGUUCUGGCUAGACGAAGUGACUUACCUUGGUCAUGUGAUUUCCAAGGAUGGUAUUGCGGUCAACCCCGAACGAAUUCAAGCUAUUCUUGACUGGACUCCCCCGAAGAAUGUCAAGCAAGUCAGAAGUUUUCUCGGACUCGCCAGCUAUUGCCGUCGAUUCGUCGAGAACUUCUCCAAGAUUGCGAAGCCCUUAACCAACCUGCUUCACAAAGGUGUUAAGUAUGAAUGGACUGAUAAAUGUCAGGAAAGUUUCCAGGCACUCAAGGACAAACUGACGUCCGCUCCAGUACUUGCUCCUCCAGAUACGAAAAGGGAUUUCGUCAUAUACUGUGAUGCUUCUCGUCAAGGAAUAGGUUGUGUCCUAAUGCAGGAUCGCAAGGUGAUCGCUUAUGCUUCGCGUCAACUGCGUGCUCAUGAAGAGAACUACCCAGUUCAUGAUCUCGAGCUUGCCGCAGUCAUUCAUGCAUUGAAGGAAUGGCGACAAUACCUUGUCGGUAAUCGCUGUGAAAUCUACACCGACCAUCAAAGUCUGAAGUACUUGUUCACUCAACCGGAGCUGAACCUGCGUCAACAAAGAUGGAUGGAGCGUAUAGCAGAUUUUGACUGUAGUAUAUCAUAUACCCCUGGCAAGGCUAACGUAAUGGCUGAUGCCUUAAGUCGCAAGUCAUACUGCAACCACCUCCAGGUUCAUCAGGUUCACGAUCGUCUGCAAGAGGAAUUCCGUAAGCUGAACCUCCACAUUGUUCCUCAGGGUUACCUUGUUCCUCCCCCUGAAGAGUAUCAAAAGAUGAACCUUCGUGUUGUUAAUCAGGGUUCCCUCAGUAACCUAGUGGUUGAACCAGAUCUUGUGAGCUCCAUAAAGAAUAUACAAAACUUUGACGAUGAUGUCGACAGGAUUAAGAGUUAUAUUGCGAAGGGUAAACCCUCCUUUUUCACUGUUGAUGAAGGUGGUGCCUUGUAUUUCAAGGGUCGCCUAUUCGUUCCAAAUAAGAAGGAAAAUCUCAGGAUGACUGGGAAGGUGAUGGAAGAAGCUCAUGACACACCAUUGUCUAUUCACCCGGGUAGUACCAAGAUGUACCAAGACAUCCGGCAAAGAUUCUGGUGGCCCAAUAUGAAACAAGACAUUGCACGCUAUGUGGCAGAAUGUGAUAUAUGCCGGCGUAUCAAAGCAGAACACCAAAAGCCUGCUGGAACUCUGCAACCUAUCUCUAUUCCCGAGUGGAAAUGGGAUCACGUUGAAAUGGACUUCGUCACUGGUUUUCCCAGGUCUCAGAAAGGUAAUGAUGCUAUUCUUGUCGUCAUUGAUCGACUGUCCAAAGUUGCACAUUUCCUGGCCGUCAAAGAAACGAUUAAUGCUAGUCAGCUGGCAGAUCUUUAUAUGUCAAGAGUUGUUUCACUUCACGGUAUUCCGUUGGUAAUCAGUUCGGACCGUGGCAGCUUGUUUACUUCAAAAUUCUGGGAAAGUUUUCAAAAGGCUAUGGGGACUCAUCUGUCCUUCAGCACUGCAUUUCAUCCUCAAUCCCAGGGACAAGUUGAACGAGUCAACCAAAUUCUCGAGGACAUGCUUCGAGCUUGUGUCAUUUCUUUCGGUAAGAAAUGGGAGGAAUCUCUCCCGUAUGCCGAGUUCUCGUACAACAAUAGCUAUCAAGCUAGUCUGAAGAUGGCCCCUUUCGAAGUAUUGUAUGGGCGAAGGUGUCGAACUCCUCUGAAUUGGUCAGAAACUGGGGAACGAUCACUCUUCGGUCCGGAUAUUAUUCAACAUGCCGAAGAUCAAGUCCGCAUUAUUCAUGAGAAUCUGAAGGCUGCUCAGUCUCGUCAGAAGAGUCAGUAUGACCGUCAUCAUCAAGAUAUGGUCUAUCAACCUGGCGAAAAGGCUUAUCUUCGUGUCACACCAAUGAGAGGUGCACACCGUUUCGGAAUCAAGGGCAAGUUAGCUCCUCGUUAUAUUGGUCCUUUCACUGUUCUCGAAAGGCGUGGAAGAGUGGCUUAUCAAUUGGAACUGCCGGCGAACCUUUCUCAGGUUCACGAUGUCUUCCAUGUUUCUCAGCUCCGUCGCUGCUUCAAGGACCCUAUUCGAGCAGUGGAUCACGAUAUGCUUGAGCUACAACAAGACCUCUCUUAUAAAGAGCAUCCGGUCUGCAUUCUCGACCAAGCUGAACGUAAGACUCGUCGCAAGGUCACUAAGUUCCUUAAGGUGCAGUGGUCAAAUCACUCUGAAGAUGAAGCCACUUGGGAACGCGAGGAUCAUCUUCGUGAUGAAUACCCCGGGCUCUUUCCCUGUACCUCUUAAUUCUCGGGACGAGAAUUCUUGUUAGUAGGGGAGAAUUGUGACAUCCUCGACUUUUGCUACAGUAGUAAUCGUAAUCAAGCUACAGUGAUCAACCGUUAAUGAUGCCACGUCAUCGGAUUUCCAUCUCAGACCCGCGUUGAUUCGAGUUUGUCCGGAUUUCAGAUUUGAAAACAAAAGUAGAGUACGUUAUGAGUUCAUUGCAAAUAUUACAAGAAUAUAUAUGUAAAAACGAGGAAAGUAUUAAAGAAACAGUAAUGAUAAAAGAAAGAAAGAAAACUGAAAGAAAGAAAUAAUAAAAAGAAAAGGGAAAAGAGAAAACAAAAUAAAUCUAAUCAAAAAAAAUAAAUAAAAUUGAAAACAACCCUCACUCCCCCGUGGCCCAACUGGGCCAAAAGGCCCAGCCGGCCACCACCCCCACCCUCCAAAACCCUAGCGCCACCCCACCCCCACGCCAACUCCCUCCCCCCCCCUGGGCGCCGCCGCCAGCCCCCCCCCUCGUGGGGGGCCCCACCCCCACGCCGCCACCUCUCCCUCCCCUCUCGUGACCCUCCCCAACCCACCGACACCCCCUCCCCCACGAUCUCCCUCCNNNNNNNNNNNNNNNNNNNNNNNNNNNNNNNNNNNNNNNNNNNNNNNNNNNNNNNNNNNNNNNNNNNNNNNNNNNNNNNNNNNNNNNNNNNNNNNNNNNNCCAGCCGUGCGACAGCGUGACAUCGGGGCAAGGGAGUGACACGUGGUGGUCCUAGUGCCACCGCGCUUGGUGCACCGAGACGCUCACACGCUGGCGAGGCCGGUGGGAAGACGAUGGCGGGGAGAUGGCGCGGGGGUAGAGCGGGGCCUUGCCCUUGUUUGGAAAGCCCGCCGACCAUGGUGCUAAGGUUUUGGUCACCGAGGAGGUGGCUGGAUGUGGACGGACGGGGUUUUGGAAGCAGAUGGCGGAACCCACAGCACGCUCGGAUUAAAAAAGACCGGUCGCGGUCGCUGACGCGUGGGCCCGAGGAUGGCGACCGUCAUAAAUAAUGUUGACCGCGGUGGUUGGGGGCGGACAUCGAGAGGGUGCGCGCGCGUCCGCUUCGCUUCUGCGCAACACAUUUCAGUCUCAAAUUUGGGCCGGAAAUGGAUCGGCGCGGACGCGUUUUGGCAAUGGGUCGACGCGUUAGGUCAUUAUUUUUGUCCCCGCCGACCCAAACGGACGACGGCGGACGAAAUGGGUCGUCCCAUUGAAGUUGCUCUAACUAUUUUUUUUGAACCAUUUAUAAUUUUUUUGGCAGCCAAAAAAAAAAGUUUAAGUGCCGCAAAUAUACGGCACUUCCGUGGUUGCCUUAACCCAAAGCUCCCCGCGCGUGACACAACCACCGGUCGACUUCACCAGACCAGAGGCCACCGCCAUCCCUCGUUAAUGGCCUCCUCAUCAGCAGCGGCUGCCACCUGCAGAUUCCUGACCCCGCUAGCCACAACCUCGCGCACUCUGCUAUCAUAUAUCCCACCCACAGCCGCGGCAACGAGCAGGAGGCUGCUCCUCUCCUCCACCACCGCCAUUUGCGCCGCCGCUAUGGCCGCCUCCGGCAAGGCCGCCUCCGCUUCUUGCAAGGUCGUGGACUCCCAUCUCCACGUCUGGGCAUCGCCGCUGCAGGUAAAAAAGGCACCUCCACGGACGGACGCGCACCAAUUCCCAAUUGUUGGCACCUUCCCUUGAUGAGAUUUAUGUGGUUGUGCGCGCGUGCAGGCUGCCGAGAAUUAUCCCUUUUUCCCGGGCCAGGAGACGACGCUCCGGGGUGAUGUGGACUUCUUGCUCCAGGUCUCCAUUAUUCUUCUUUGCUUGUGGAAGUAUCUUUGGAUAUGAUGAUAGUACUCAGUACAUGGAUAUGAUGAUAGUACUCACUACUCAGUAGAUGGAUAUGAUGAUAGUAGACCGCAUCCUGGCAUGAUUUUUAGUUUUCUCUGAUAAUCGGGGCAGGAUUGCGGUGGUACUGGUUGUUUGGCUGAACAAAUGCAUAGGCCAUAGGGUGUUAAGGUGCCCUCCUUUUCUGGUUCCAUAGGUUGUGUGUGUGCGUUGAGUGCUGCAUUGCAAGUGUUCGACGGAAUAUGUGAACCAAAUGUAAGCUAUAGGGAGUUAAAUUUGAGGAUUCGGUUCGGUCCAGCCACCGUUUAACCCCUCAAAUUAUAAGGAGUUAAGUAUAAAGAGGCAUAUAAGGAGUUGCAUUUUAAGGGAUCGGCUGGAGAUGCCCUAAAUUAGCUAUUUGGAGCUUGGGAAUUUAACGAGGAAACGCAACACCCAACGCCCCCUUCCCUAUUUCUGUGUAUCGACAUGACCUCUGUUUCUUAGCUGCUAGCUAUGUACUGCAAAAUAUUAGUUCCAACAUGCAUUUCAUAUUUCUUUAUCCCGGCACUUAUUUUUUUAUUAAACUCUUGAGACCUGAGACUAAUAUGCCGGUCAGAUUAUCAUUUUGAACCUAUUUGUUUCUCUUUCCCCUAGUGUAUGGAUGAAGCUGGAGUUGACGGCGCGCUCAUUGUUCAGCCUAUUAAUCACAUGUUUGACCACUCUUUAGUUACUAGGUAAACUUUUCUUGCAUCCAGAUGAACUGAACUAGUCAUAUGAUUUGUAUCUAUAUGAAAAGUUCAGUGAAAUUCCCUCUUUGAUAUGUCUCAGUCUUACUUGUUUUUCUCUGUAGUGUGUU
rnacentral:lncRNA from 1 species